CACUAGUCAAUAGUUAUUGCCGCUCUCCUGAUAAGUCCAAGGCAGGACGAAACCAGUG
rnacentral:hammerhead_ribozyme from 1 species